UACAGAGGUCUCAAGCGUUGUUCGGAUUCAUUGGGCGUAAAGGGCGCGUAGGCGGCCUGCUAAGUCGAACGUGAAAUCCCUGGGCUCAACCCAGGAACUGCGUCCGAUACUGGUUGGCUUGAAUCCGGGAGAGGGACGUGGAAUUCCAGGUGUAGCGGUGAAAUGCGUAGAUAUCAAGAGGAACACCUGCGGCGAAGGCGGGUUGCUGGGCCGACACUGACGCUGAGGCGCGAAAGCCAGGGGAGCGAACGGG
rnacentral:rRNA from 1 species